UCUUAUACUAUUGUUCAUUUCUCAUUGGAUAUAAUUGAAUGGUUUAAGUAUAAUUUGAAAAAGUUUUUUAAAUUGUACUUGAUACUGAUUCACCCCCCUCUCAGUAUCGACAAGAACAUGAGGAGAGUCGAGGAUAGAUGAGAAGAUAACACCACGAGUAGAUCCGAGGAGAUCACAGAAGGAGUAACUCCCCAAACCCUGACAUCUGUGUAAGGGAACAUCGGAGAAGGAUAUUAAGGGUGGAGGAGACUGAGCUAGAGGGCGCGUGAAGGAGACUAAGCUAUAGGGCACACCGUGAGCAAGCUUGAGAAUGGUAAGUGGUAGUUCGACCAAUCCCACCCAUAAUUUUUUCAUUGAGAUAUGGUUUCACCAAGUUUCCUUUAUUUUUAUUUUUCCCCUGUCUACCAAAAAAAAAAUGUUUUGACUGUGUGGAGCUUGGAAAGGUCAAUUUCAAUCUCAGUCAACCCCCCUCUCUGCCUUGGAUGUAGGGAAAAAAAUAGAAUGUACACAUGUAUGUCAUCCAAAAUGGACCCUACAGGAUUCUCCUCCUCACUAUUCUCAUGAUCUAGGUCUUUCCACAUAGGCAUUGUCUACAUCGACAUUGUUUACAUAGGCAUUGUCUACAACAUUCCAUUUUUUCCCACUAGAUCUUGGACAAUGAAGCAUCACAAAAAAUAUGGAGGUUGUCCAUAGCGUUCUCUAUAGAAUAAAAAAAAAUCUAGAAGGAUUCCAUAGUGUUCUUCAUAAAAUUUCGGUCCUUAUGAAUAAUAUGAAAGAGUUGUAUGUAGAAUGUUGAUUAACCAACUAUCCAGCUCCAUGUUCUGGGAGGGGAAUUCCUUUGAUAAGAUAUUGACCAACCCCACGAUAAAUGAGAUAAUAUAGGGCCUUUACUACCAUUUUAAAAAAGACUUUUGUUGGAUGGACCCUAAGUGUCUCAUAUCCUAUGAUUCACACUUGUUGAUAGGAAGGAAAACUAAGGCUUUGUAGAGUGUCUUAGAAGCGUAGAGGAAAAAUUUCCUGAAGUCCAUGUCCUUGAUCAUGCCUAUAUUUGAGGGUCAUUCGAUCAUGUCAUAACAUUUCCCAAAAAUCAAUCUCAAUGAAGAGGGUGUUGAAAUCAAGGAAACAUUUGAGGGCAUUCCAUAACUUUUUCCCCUUCAAGCAAUAUCACAGAAAACAUGCACUCCUUUUCCUCCUCUGCAUCAAUCAUGUGAAAAUCCCUACAAACUAACGAAUGGAUUUCCAAUGAUUUGUCAACAAUACAUUUCUAUAAAAGGGCACAUUUAUCAUUAGACACAUAGAAGUUGGAUAAUCCCAACAAACUUCCAUCCAGAGUCAACAAAAUUGAAACCCAUUUUUGAGAUUUGUUGGUGCCUCAUCCUAUAACUGACGACAAUGUUAGGAAAUCCAGAGACGUCGUCGAGGGCCCCAGGAAGAGUUAUCUUUUCUUUUUAACAACUUUCCCACCCUGAAAUAGGCUCAACCAGAGAUAGGGUCCAACAAUUGGAAGAGCAUCGCACAUCUUGCGGUGUCUGGUGCGCCCUCAGUGACCCUUGAAAAUAUGGAGGACCAAGUACCGCCCAUGCUCGGUCAUACUCAUAACCACAUCAGGUCUCCAAGUUGAACAAGCUGUGGUCAAUAGAACAAUGUAGGUAAGGGAAGUCAGCAAAAUGGAUUCGUAACUUCGGGAGAAGGAUUGGCUUUGAGGGCUGGGCCUAGGGGUUUGCAUCCUCAACCCGUGGGUUGUCGACAGUCUUCUCGAGCUGCUAUCACAACAAGGGAAGGUAGUCAUCUGUUGAUUGGGAUACGGAUGUAUGAUGUCCCCUUGCGGGGGAUUUUCCCUAGGCGGCGAACAUUUGACUGAGAAUUGGUAUGGACAAGGGGAAUCUGCCUGUUUAAUUAAAAAAAAAGCAUUACGAUGGUCCCUGCGAAUGCUGACAUAAUGUGAUUUAUGCCCAGUGCUCUAAAUGUUAAAGUGAAGAAAUUAAACCAAGUGCAGGUAAAUGGAUAGAGACUUCAAUCCUUAGAAUCCUUCAUUUUGCAGCGAGGAUCAAGCUCAAGAAGGAUAGAGACUUGGAGAAGU
rnacentral:ncRNA from 1 species